GCCCAGCCAGGCUUGUCUCCCACCUCCACCUCCCAGUAACGCCUCCUGCUCAUGAACCCCUCAGUGCCCAGGACACAGAAACAAAGAUCAAAUCUCUCAGGAUUGUUGGACAGAUCCUGACGAGUGUCUCCAUGUCUCACACAUUUCCGAUCCUCAGACAGGACAAGGGUGGGAUGAGCUGUGUUUGG